GUGUGUGACGUCAAAAACUGUAACUGGGAGUACAACGAUCUGGUACGAGUUAUCUGGUAGUAAGUUACGGGUUUGACUGUUGUUCCAGGGCGCUUUCACGUGUAGAAGGUUGUGAAAACACGAGUUACGGAUUGCCUGGAACGCAGCAUUAAUUAACA